rnacentral:rRNA from 1 species
GCGGCGUGGAUUAGGCAUGCAAGUCGAGCGAGAAAUUUACUUCGGUAAAUGGACAGCGGCGAAAGGGACAGUAAUGUGUAGGUACCUACCCUCUGAUCUGGGAUAGCUGCGGGAAACUGCAGGUAAUACCGGAUAAUGUCUUCGGACCAAAGGUGUGAUUCCGUCUGAGGAGGGGCCUGCAUCCUAUUAGCUUGUUGGUGAGGUAAUGGCUCACCAAGGCAACGAUGGGUAGCGGGUGUGAGAGCAUGACCCGCGUCAUUGGGACUGAGACACUGCCCAGACAUCUACGGAUGGCUGCAGUCGAGAAUCUUCGGCAAUGGGCGAAAGCCUGACCGAGCGACGCCGCGUGCGGGAUGAAGGCCCUCGGGUUGUAAACCGCUGUCGUUGGGGAGGAAAUGCAGGAGGGCUAUCCCUCUUGUUUGACCGAUCCAAGGAGGAAGUACGGGCUAGGUUC